ensembl:rRNA 5S_rRNA 5S ribosomal RNA
GUCUACAGCAAUACCACCCUGAACACACCUGAUCUCAUCUGAUCUCAGAAACUAAGCAAGGUCAGGCCUGGUUAGUACUUCGAUGGGAGAUCAAUUUUGAAAGACAGUUUUACAGGGU